ACAAGCUUUAGAGGUGGGGAAGCAAAACAAGAACAUAUGGAAAGGGUAUUUUGGGGUUUGGCACAGACAUUCUCUAAGAAAUCUCAAAGCAUCUAUGUCUCAGAGUGUAUUCGCAGAGUGGGGUCCAGAACCAUGGAAACCAAGAGUUUCUCUGUUGAUGGAGGUGUGGCUAUCCAACGCCUUCAGAGGGGUUUAGCCUGGGAAGUUUCAGCCUCCUGUUCCUUGCAGAUGGCCUCCUGGAAAUUCCCCAAUCAGCUGGGCUUUUUCUCACUGAACUCGAUGGAGCGGGCACUCCCGGCUCCAGAAGAAAGAUGGUGUCCUUUGAAGUGACGCCAGGAUGUAUAGUUAUGAUUUCUCCUGGGCUUAUACCAGGUUGUGAAUAAUUUAGGAUUGCAUUUCAACCCCUACUCUCCUUUGACUAUUCAGCAAAUCUCUGCUUUUCCUCCUCUUUCUGCCUUUGAUUGCCCUGGAAAUGUUUAAUAAAGCCUCUGGCAUUGAGUUUGUGCCUAAGUGUUCGAGAAACACUACUGAAAUGACCCCCACACAUGCAUGUGCAUUGACUGGAACUAGCAUAAAUAUUGUCUUGAAGUCGUGUCCGGGAAGCGUGAUGGACUUAUUGUGGGUAUCCACGUUCUGCAGGGACAUUUAUAGCAACAGCGAAAAGGCCAGAUAAUGGCCCCAUUUAGAACAGCCAUUUAGUCCCAUAAAUACAUUUCCUCAAAUAAAUCUGCUGAUUACCCUUGCACGGACUUGACAGCUCAGCCAAGCGGUUUGCCCUAUAUGCUGCAGAAGGCUCCGCCGUGUGUCCGUCCACGUCAGGGACCUCAGAUGAAGAAAUACAAUCGGCGGGCCCUUUUUGGAAAUGAUGGCACAAAAUGAGAAAAGAAAUGGGGAGAAAAUCUCGCAGGAGCCAGCAUUUAUUAUCUAGCCAGCUGCCCCUACGAAAUCAUAACUACGCUUCAGUAAAAAUGGAUCACAAUUCAAGACCCAGACAAGUGUUACUACAAAUAUUUUUGAGAUGACAAAAGAAAAAAAACAAGUUUUCUUUCAGAUAUACUAUAAAGAUGAGGACGGACAGUGGAAUGCUGGUUUGUUAACCCUUCAGGGGGUCAGCUAGUUUAAAACCUUUCAGGACCCCACCUUGGCUUAUAUUCCUAAAUAAAAUUCCUAAAAAGCUUAAAUUCCUAAGGACGGCGGAAAAGACCCUUCGUGGUUCGGCUGCACCCUCUCUGCCACUGGGAGUCUCCCAUGAUCUGCUCUAACCUUACAGAACCACCAGCCAAGGUCGCUUUUCUCCGGUUUUCUCCUCUCUCCUUUCCCUGGCUUUCUUCACCUAGUGAGAUCUUAUUUGUCAUUAGAAAUUCAGGGCACAGGUCAUUCCUUCUGGAAAGUCUUCCUUGAGUCUCUUCCUCCACCCCAGACUGAUCUGGACGCGGAGAGGAGAGGCUGGAGUUCUGCUGUCACACACACCAGAGCCUAGCACCUUGCUCACUGGAGCCUGCGCCUACAUAUGGCGCCUGGCGGGCAGGCCUGGGAGGAAGUGCAGAGGAGCUGCUCUUCCUCGUGGACAUCUUGCUCCUUUGACUUCUUGCCAAUUUGUUCCUGUCGGG
ensembl:lncRNA